rnacentral:tRNA from 1 species
GAGUUUUUAGUAUAAAAAAUUAUAAAUAAUUGCAAAUUAUUAGAUAGUAAGCUUU